rnacentral:rRNA from 1 species
UACGGAGGGUGCAAACGUUGCUCGGAAUCAUUGGGCGUAAAGCGCACGUAGGCGGCUCGUUAAGUCGGAUGUGAAAGCCCUCGGCUCAACCGAGGAAGUGCAUACGAAACUGGCGAGCUUGAAUAUGGAAGAGGGUCGCGGAAUUCCCGGUGUAGAGGUGAAAUUCGUAGAUAUCGGGAGGAACACCAGUGGCGAAGGCGACUUCCUGGCCUGUUCUUGACGCUGAGGCGCGAAAGCUAGGGGAGCAAACGGGG